UGAACGCUGGCGGUAGGCCUAACACAUGCAAGUCGAACGGCAGCACAGUAAGAGCUUGCUCUUACGGGUGGCGAGUGGCGGACGGGUGAGGAAUACAUCGGGAUCUACUUUUUCGUGGGGGAUAACGUAGGGAAACUUACGCUAAUACCGCAUACGACCUACGGGUGAAAGCAGGGGAUCUUCGGACCUUGCGCGAUUGAAUGAGCCGAUGUCGGAUUAGCUAGUUGGCGGGGUAAAGGCCCACCAAGGCGACGAUCCGUAGCUGGUCUGAGAGGAUGAUCAGCCACACUGGAACUGAGACACGGUCCAGACUCCUACGGGAGGCAGCAGUGGGGAAUAUUGGACAAUGGGCGCAAGCCUGAUCCAGCCAUACCGCGUGGGUGAAGAAGGCCUUCGGGUUGUAAAGCCCUUUUGUUGGGAAAGAAAAGCAGCAGGUUAAUACCCCGCUGUUCUGACGGUACCCAAAGAAUAAGCACCGGCUAACUUCGUG
rnacentral:rRNA from 1 species